AGCUGUUUUGGGACUACAACUCCCAUCAUCCCUAGCUAACAGGACCAGUGGUCAGGGAUGAUGGGAAUUGUAGUCCCAAAACAUAU